AGGGAUGUGGCUCAGUGGUAGAGUGCUUGCCUGACGUGCAGGAAACCCUGAUUCCAACCCUU
rnacentral:tRNA from 1 species